rnacentral:rRNA from 1 species
AUGGUGCUGGUGAAGAUGUUGAUGGAGAUUGACCCCCCUCCCAAUGAGAGAAUCGAUGGUGAUGAUGAUGGUGACGAUUUCCCCCUCCCGGAGGGAUGUUUCCCCGGCAGAACAGCUCCGCCGGAGCCCUAUAUUGGUUCCGCCAAGGUUCCGCCUCGUGGCGGCGGUGUUUCGUCCCGAAAGCUUGCUUAUGAUUUUUUCCAGGGUAAAAGACUUCAUAUAGUAGAAGAUGGGCACCGAAGGCCUGACAGGGGGCCCAUGAGGCAGGGGGCGUGCCCCCACCCUCGUAGCCAGGGUGUGGGCCCCCUCUAG